rnacentral:rRNA from 1 species
UACAGAGGUCCCAAGCGUUGUUCGGAUUCAUUGGGCGUAAAGGGUGCGUAGGUGGUGUGGUAAGUCGGGUGUGAAAUCCCGGGGCUCAACCCCGGAACUGCACUCGAUACUACUGUGCUCGAGUACUGGAGAGGAGACUGGAAUUUACGGUGUAGCAGUGAAAUGCGUAGAUAUCGUAAGGAAGACCGGUGGCGAAAGCUAGUCUCUGGACAGUCACUGACACUGAGGCACGAAGGCUAGGGGAGCAAACGGG